rnacentral:rRNA from 1 species
CUACGGGGUGCUGCAGUGGGGAAUAUUGGACAAUGGGCGAAAGCCUGAUCCAGCCAUGCCGCGUGUGUGAAGAAGGCCUUCGGGUUGUAAAGCACUUUCAGUGGGGAAGAAAGCCUUGGGACUAAUACCCUCGAGGAAGGACAUCACCCACAGAAGAAGCACCGGCUAACUCCGUGCCAGCAGCCGCGGUAAUACGGAGGGUGCGAGCGUUAAUCGGAAUUACUGGGCGUAAAGCGCGCGUAGGCGGUCUGAUAAGCCGGUUGUGAAAGCCCCGGGCUCAACCUGGGAACGGCAUCCGGAACUGUCAGGCUAGAGUGCAGGAGAGGAAGGUAGAAUUCCCGGUGUAGCGGUGAAAUGCGUAGAGAUCGGGAGGAAUACCAGUGGCCAAGGCGGCCUUCUGGACUGACACUGACGCUGAGGUGCGAAAGCGUGGGUAGCAAACAGGAUUAGAUACCCCAGUAGUC